rnacentral:rRNA from 1 species
UACGUAGGGUGCAAGCGUUGUCCGGAAUUAUUGGGCGUAAAGAGCUCGUAGGCGGCUUGUUGCGUCGACUGUGAAAACCCACGGCUCAACUGUGUGGUCUGCAGUCGAUACGGGCAAGCUAGAGUUCGGUAGGGGAGACUGGAAUUCCUGGUGUAGCGGUGAAAUGCGCAGAUAUCAGGAGGAACACCGGUGGCGAAGGCGGGUCUCUGGGCCGAUACUGACGCUGAGGAGCGAAAGCGUGGGGAGCGAACAGG